rnacentral:lncRNA from 1 species
UCCACAGCCACAUCCCUCCUUCCACUCUACCCUCCGGCCAACUCUCCCAUUCUCCGCCGCUUUUGACACUCCAACCUCCACCCUGACCACCAACACAGGCGGCUCAACGGCAACGGGCAAACAUUUCGUCAUAUCAAGACUAACCUGUCUCUCUACGGACAUUUCAGUUGACCCCCAUACAUCUCUCCAUGCAAUCUCAGCUCUUCCGAAAAGCUCAGACCUUGCUAGUCUCCCAAGAACCGGCAUCUCUUUCCUCCGGGUAGCUCGAACACGAUGCUGUGUUGCUCUCGUAGCUCUUGCAUCCGGCUCGAGGGCCCCUGACACUCCACCGAUGCGAUGCAGUCCCAUGUUAGAUCAUCCCUCGAUGGGAUUUCAUGAGUGUCGAUCUGAAUCCUCCUUCCACUCCCAGCAGAGAUAUAGCAUCUCAUAAAGAGAUUCCUCGUGAGACCAACGUACGUUGCCGAGAUUGGUCAGUCUGAUGUAGCUUAGUUUACAUUGGAGGUGGAGGGAAUCAUGGGAUUCAGCCAUGGUGAUCAUCAAGAAGUGAUAAAGAGUGGGGAAGCACAUGCACGAUGAGUGGGUUGAAGAAGGAGGAUUGCUUGCUUCUAUAAUGCAAAUGGCAAGUGUCUGAAACUUUGGGGUGCAUGCUUUAAG